rnacentral:rRNA from 1 species
AGAGUUUGAUCCUGGCUCAGGACGAACGCUGGCGGCGUGCCUAACACAUGCAAGUCGAGCGAGUGAAUCUCCUUCGGGAGUGAAGCUAGCGGCGGACGGGUGAGUAACACGUGGGCAACCUGCCUCAUAGAGGGGAAUAGCCUUCCGAAAGGGAGAUUAAUACCGCAUAAGAUUGUAGUAUCGCAUGAUACAGCAAUUAAAGGAGCAAUCCGCUAUGAGAUGGGCCCGCGGCGCAUUAGCUAGUUGGUGAGGUAACGGCUCACCAAGGCGACGAUGCGUAGCCGACCUGAGAGGGUGAUCGGCCACAUUGGGACUGAGACACGGCCCAGACUCCUACGGGAGGCAGCAGUGGGGAAUAUUGCGCAAUGGGGGCAACCCUGACGCAGCAACGCCGCGUGCAGGAAGAAGGUCUUCGGAUUGUAAACUGUUGUCGCAAGGGAAGAAGACAGUGACGGUACCUUGUGAGAAAGUCACGGCUAACUACGUGCCAGCAGCCGCGGUAAUACGUAGGUGACAAGCGUUGUCCGGAUUUACUGGGUGUAAAGGGCGCGUAGGCGGACUGUCAAGUCAGUCGUGAAAUACCGGGGCUUAACCCCGGGGCUGCGAUUGAAACUGACAGCCUUGAGUAUCGGAGAGGAAAGCGGAAUUCCUAGUGUAGCGGUGAAAUGCGUAGAUAUUAGGAGGAACACCAGUGGCGAAGGCGGCUUUCUGGACGACAACUGACGCUGAGGCGCGAAAGUGUGGGGAGCAAACAGGAUUAGAUACCCUGGUAGUCCACACCGUAAACGAUGAUUACUAGGU